rnacentral:rRNA from 1 species
AGGUAGUAAUUCUCAAUAAAACCUAUAUACUACGGCGGCAUAUUAAUUCUUAGAGGAACUUGUCCUUUAAUCGAUAAUCCACGAUAAUUUUCACUUAAAUAUAAAAUUUAUAUAUCGCCAUCUAAAGACUUAAUACAAAUAACUUUUUCAAAAUAAAAAAUAAAAAGUUAGGUCAAGGUGUAAUCAAUUUUUAAGAUUGUGAUGAGUUACUUUAAAUAAAAUUUAAGGACAAAGUUAUAAAAACAACUUUUAAAAUAGGAUUUAUUAGUAAUAUACAAACAAUAAUUUUAUUUGAAAUAAACUAAAAUGUGC